rnacentral:misc_RNA from 1 species
AACGCACGAGACCUGCGGACCUGCGGAAGGAUCAUUAAUGAGAAGCUGCCCCUCGUGGGUAGACCUCCCGCCCUCUGUGAACUUACCUUUGUUGCUUUGGCAGGCCCGUCCUCUGGACCGCCGGCUUCGGCUGGCCCGUGCCUGCCAGAGGAUUCCAAACCCUGUCUGUCAGUGUUGUCUGAGUCUAUAUGAAAUCGUUAAAACUUUCAACAAUGGAUCUCUAGAUCGGAAGAGCACACG